rfam:Myotis lucifugus cont2.13977, whole genome shotgun sequence.
UGUGGUUCUCGUGACACACCCCAGAAUCGAGCUCCCUCCUCUCUGGUUCCGGGUGUGUCACCCGAGAACCGCA